AGAUGUUCCAGUAUCAAAGGCAUGUGCUGAGGCUUGCACACCAUCCGCUACUGUGAAGUGCUGCGGUACAUCUCAGUGUAACGUGGACUUCUUGAAAUGCUACACCUGCACUGACUUGACAGAUGAAUCUAAUUGUAAAGAUAUAACAGUCUGUGGGUAUGGUGACAAGUUCUGUAAAACCACUUACAAACUAACUGGAACUGGUAAGUAAUGAUCCCGAAGGGCCGGGUUUCUCUGACUAUAACAAGUUUAACUGGCUUCUCUUUCUCUCGUACAUUCCUACUUAGUGUUGGGAUUAACAUAGAUUUUUCCAGCAGCUUCUUUCUAAAUAAGGACAAGAACAUAUUUGCAGUCAUCACAAGAGACAAGUUUACAUUGCACUAAUGUUUCCCACAUUUAAGUCACCAUUCAAUCAGCUAACAAUAGUAUUCAAGCCAGAUAAAUGUAUCUCUACAAUCAGGGCUGUUUUGAAAAUGUACCUCCACCUACAAAUCCAAGCUAAAAUACUUUUUAUUACAGGCUUCACAUUGUUUUUAUUCUCUAAUACAAUGUUUGAAAUGGCAAGAGUAACAAAGGCCUGUGUCAAUUGAUGAGAUAAUAGUUAUAGAAUUAUGACUAACUUUCUUUUUGCAUUCAUUGAUAGGUGUCACCGUCAGCAAGGGAUGUGCAUCAACUUGUACUGUAACAACAGCUUUCCCGCGAGAUGAGUGCUGUCAGGGAGAACUGUGUAAUGAUAAAUUGAUUUGCUUCAAAUGUGCUGAAACAACCGAUGAAAGUUCCUGUACUUCGAGUCCAUGUGCAGCUGAAGCAUUCUGCAAGAGUGACUACAAACUGAACGGGGCAGGUAAGAGCUUCUCCUUCAUUUGGGGUUUCUAUUCUUUGUGUUUCCAGUUUGGUGCUUGUGAAUUCCAGCUGGUGAACGGAGGCCGUUGAGAGCAGUUGUGUUCAUGUCUAAGGAGUCCAUUCCUAGCAAUCCUUUUCGUAAUCCUCAAAUCUAACAUCACAUACACCUCACUGCUUCAUUGCUACUUUGCAGCCACAUUUCCCAUGUUUAGAGAUUUAAAAUACAUAACUUUAUUAUCAUCAACUGACUAUUAUUAAGCAUGGUAGAGCCCUGUUUUAGAAUAACGGAACACAUAACUUUGUACAGUAACUUAUGCCUCACAUAUUAACCUUCAGUGGACACUUUCUUUUUUCAAGAGCAUGCAAUAUUGUCCCACAUGGAAAAAUAAAAGCAGUAUGCUGGUACCGUAAUAUGUACAUGUUAGUGUAGAGUCACCGAGGAUUUGAUUCUGUAUAAAUGCCCUGCUUAUUGAUUUGUCAGAAUCACUGAUUUGGCACUAGCUGGUUCUGUCACCACUAACCUUGCUUUUCUCCACCUUACAGGAGUGCCUGUUGUCACUAAGUCCUGUGCAGAUUGCAAAGCUGUUGACAAUACAGCAGACAAAAACGUGAGGACAACUUGCUGCAAAACAGGCUAUUGUAAUGGAAAUGCCUUGAGUUGCAACACUUGUACUAAUGAAGCUGACGAACCAAAAUGUGCAGCAACAGCCUGCGCUGCAACUGACAAACUAUGUCAGAGCACUUAUACCCUCACUGCACCAGGUAAGCUGGAUCACAAGGGGAAAGGUGACUG